UCUCUCUCUCUCUGUUCUUAGCUCGGGUCUGGGCAUUUGGAGGUAUGUAGUUGUUGGGUUCUGCAUGUCGUUGUUCUGUCUAUUUCUAUUUGAUUUAGCACUUAUUUGUUGGGUUUUUGUGAAAGAUUGUUGGAUGUUUGUCUGAUUUGGUGUGUUUGUGACAGAUUCUUGGGUGUGCGACUGAGUUGGGCGAGGAGAAGGAGGCUGAUUGUGGAGGAAAUGGGAGAGGAAUCAAAGCGAAAGAGAGUGAUAAAAUUUCCUAGAGACUGAAGGGGUUGCUGAUAGUUUUUCGAUUCGACCAAGAGGAGGAGCAAGGGGACGAGAGGAGCAUGAUUCUGGUGGUUUGAUGGCUGUUCUGCAUCUAGCUAGAAAGAGUACUCCUGUUGUCUUUCAAUUUUGGAUAAUAGGAUUUUGAAUAGAGACAAGCAGAGAGGAUAUUUAGUUUUUGGGAACAAGAAAGAGAGAAAGAGGGUGAGGGAGGUGGGGAUUUUGAAUAAGGAUCCCGAGACCCCGAAGGAGCAGAUUGAUAAGUUGAAUAAGCAAAAUUUUAUUCGGAAUCUUAUUGAGAGGAAGCACUAAUUGACACUGUUAGUUUUCUCGGUGCUACUAACAAGCUAAGUUUUCUAAUUUCAUUGAUUUUGCUUCCACGUUUCAUUAAAUUUUCUAUGUUUUGGAUUGCUGCUUUUUGGUUUCUUAGUAAGUUUUCAAUUGCUUUUUAGUUAGUUGGUUGAAUUGUAGUCAGGCAGAGUAUCAAAGAUUUAUAUCUUUGUUUGAUUCAAAUUAUUUACUCAUAUAGUUUAUGAACUUUAUUUUCCGUUGUUUUGUUGCUGAGAAAGUGGAUUUACGAUUAGAAGGAAAAAAAAAAAACUGUUACUUUUGUCAUCUGUGAUUAAUUGAGAGCCUUGAUUGAAUGAUUUCAAAACCUAUUGGUUAACAUUACUCAUCUGCCCUUCUUGAUUGCUUUUUUAAGAAGAAUAUAUUCUGAUGUUUUGCAAUUUAAUUUGAGCUUGGCUUUUGAAUACAGUUAUGGCACCUAAAGGAUGACAAGAAAAAUGAAGGCUCUAGAAAGUGAUCAUAGCUCAGCAAAUUUAUGUUGUGCUGCAAGUUAUAAGGAAAGCUCAUCAAGUAAGGGAGAUAUGGGAGAAAUGAAGAAGGAUCAGACUAGAUAUGGGAGCAACUAGAACAACUAUUUUUUGGAAA